CCCAAUUAAAUAUUUUGGAUAUGUAUUAAUUUUACAAUACUAUCAUUUUUGUUAUAUUUCCAAGAAACUUAUUAAUUAAAAAAAAAAGGCACGUGACUUUUCUUCUCUCUCUGCCAUGGUAAGGAGGAAGAAGAAGACUUGGAAGCCUGAUUCUAGCACACUGGUUCGUGAGCCAUCUUCAAUUCAAUACAUAGAUGAGUUGAAAGGUGUUGUGAAUGGCAGCGAUCAAAUACCAAGGGAUCUAGGGCUUGAGAUUUAUUCGAGUGAGGAUGUAGAUGGUUUUCAAGAUGCGGUGGCUUCAAUGAUUUCUUUGGAAUUCGAUAUUGUUGAGAUUGAGUGCGUUGCUACUAUUGAUGAUCGAGUAGAGGAGACCGAAGCUGGGUAUUCUGCAGUAGGUUAGCUGACUGCCUUUUAGGAUAAGUCGAAACAGAUUUGGGCCAAUUUCAAGGAUGUUCAAGCUGGGAGACAUGGAGCCCAUCUACACUAUCAAAUCCUAUUAAACAAGGAAGGUUUUGUUAAGAGGAUAUGGGAUAUGUUAGGGCUAGAAAGGGUGGCCAUCAUGAACUCUAGUUUAACAAUUGUGAAGUUCAGGGAUGAGGUGACUAGGGAUUCGGUUUUUGAAGCAGGGUUUGUGCAUUUUGAUAGAAACCAAUGAUGGCUUUGGACUAUGUAUAUACAUGCAUUAAGGCUUGUUCAGUCUAUCCCAAUUUGGAUUAGGCUCUAUGAUUUAGAUUUGCAAUAUUGGGGAAUCAAUUGCCUUAGUGCCCUUAUGAGUAAUAUUGGCAAGCUGAUCAUGGUAGACAAGGUUACAAGGGAUUGAUCGAUGAUUAAGUUUUCUAAAGGUUUUGUGGAUAUGGUUAUAUCAGAUAAGCGCCAAAGAGGGAUUUGCUUCCUCAAUGAGUAUGGUCAGCUAGUGGAUCAACUUGUUGAGUAUGAGUGGCUACCAACUAAAUGUGCUAGUUUAGGCAACUAUGGUCAUGGGGUUACUAGUUGCAAGAAGGUAACUAAACAGGUUCGGAAAUGAAGGAUAAAGCAGUAUUAGAAACUACACGUUAGGAGGCUAGGGAAGUAAUCCAAAAGGAGGAUCAUCGUAGCACUACUAGUAUUAGUUUGGGUGAUGAAAAAAGAAUGGUUUCUUCAUCUUAUGUUGGGAAUGAGGCUUGGGUUACCCCUAAGAAGAAAGCUGGUGGGAAUAGGAUCAGUGUCAAUGCUUCAACUCACUCCGAGAACUCAUUUUGUGCUUUACAAGUUCCUAUGGAGAAGGUGAAUGAAAUGGUUGUUCAAGAAUCUCGACCUCUUAAUUGAGUUCUACAAUCUUGUGUGCUGGAAUGCUAGCGAUUUGAAUAAAUGGAAUAAGCAAAGAUUGGUUUUGGAUCUUUGUAGAGUGAAUAAUAUUAUCUUCGUGCUUUACUGGAAACUAAAGUGAAAGGCGAGAGAAAAAGGAUGUGAUGAUGGCUACUUUGAUUUUUAUAGUAGUCAGAUUUUUGAGGAAGGUAUGCAUUAUGUUCAUUGUAGGAUCAAAGUUUUUGGUCAGUCCAGGAGUUUUGUGUGACUGUUGUGUAUAGUAAGAGAGGAAAGAAUCAUGGUUUAGUCUUGCUCAUCUUUUGUUCUCUAUGGAACCUUCGAUAAUGAUGAGUGAAUUUAAUACAGUUUUUGAUCCUGAUGAUAGAGUUGGAGGUUAGGGUAUAGUUGAUAAAGAAAUGGAGGAUUCAUAGAAUUGGCUUGCUCUUGGGUUGGCAGAUGAGUUAAAAAGUUUUGGAUCUCACUAUACUUUGUCAAAUAAGCAGGAUGGUGGGACUCGAAUUUUCUCUAAGCUUGAUAGAGUGUUUAAGAAUGAGGUGUGGCUUGAUUUGCAUCCCUCUAUAAAAGUUAUCUUUCAAUGGGAAGCUAUGUCCGAACAAUGUUAUUAUAUUGUGAAGUCUAUGACGGUUUGUAAGCUUAGUUUUAAACCAUUUUUAUAUUAUAACGUGUGGGCUGAAAAUAUGUUUACUUAGAGAGAUAGUAAGGAAGGAUUGGUGCAACCAGUUAAGGGGUUGGUUUCUUUUAGGUUAUGUUGAAGUUAUCAAGACUUGAGUUUGUUUUGAAGAAGUUUAAUAAGGAAGUGUUUGGGGAUGUUCAGAUGGGUUAUGAGGAAUCCAAGGAGCAUUAUCAACAAGCUCAAUUCAAUUUGCAGCUUUAUCCCUCUGAAGCUACAUUGCAUCAGGCGAAAUAGGAGUCUCAAAUAAUAUAUAUGCAUCAAGCUAAAAUGUAUGAUAGCUUUCUUAGGCAUAAAAGUAAUGUAACUUGGCUUUAGUUUGGAGAUGAAAAUACUACAUAUUUUCAUGAUAGUUUGAUGAAACAUCGUGAAGAAAAUAUAAUAGCUUCAUUUGUGGACUCUCAAUGUAUCAUUGUGGAUUCUUAUGAGGAAGUUGUGGCACAUUUUUUGAAUCAUUUUAAGGGAUUCAUGGGAAGCUCUAGUACAACCACGUCAAUGAUUCCACAGCAAGUUGUCCUGUAUGGUCCUAAAUUGGAUGUGGAUAUGCAACUUCGUCUAAUUAAACCAUUCAGUGCCAAGGAUGUUAAACAAGGGCUAUUCAACAUUCAUGCUAUUAAUAGCCCUGGUCCUGAUGGUUAUGGUUAUGGUUUCUUUAAAGCACUAUGGAAUGAUAUUGGGGGAGAAAUAUCUAAAGAAGUGUGUGAUUUUUUUGAGACAAGUCACACUCCUCUUCUUAAUAUAACGUUGUGUUUGCUGAUUCCUAAGGUUGAUAGGCGCUCUAAAGCAGUGGAUUAUUUCCCUAUUUUGUACUGUAAUAUUCUAUACAAGUGCAUCUCUAAAAUGCUUUGUUCUAGACAUUCCAAAGUCUUUCCGUUUUUGAUACAUAGUAAUCAAGGUACUUUCAUCAAGAGAGGAUUUAUUGCAUAUAACUUAAUUUUUUCCAGGAUCUUAUAAGAGGUUAUAACAGAAAGGACAUUUAAGCUACAUGUGUGAUGAAGAUUUACUUGAGCAAGGCCUAUUAUAUUAUUGAUUGGAAUUUCCUUGAAAAUUUGUUGACUGCCUAUUGUUUUCCUGAAAUGUUUAUUUCUUGGGUAAUGAUUUGUUUGAGAGAAACUGUGUACUUGCUUAUGUUAAAUGGUCGAAUUCAAGGGUUUUUUAAAGGAGGAAAAGGGCUAAGACAAGGAGACCCCAUUUCUCCAUUCUUAUUUAUAAUUGUAGUUGAAUACUUAACGAGGGUUCUAUUGCAAGCUUCGUAUAUGCCAGAGUUUCGAUUUCAUCCUCUUUUAAGAGCCUAAAUUUAGUGAGCCAUGCUGAUGAUCUUAUUAUUUUUUGCAAAGGGUCUCUUAAGGUGAUCAAACUCGUUAAUGAUGCGUUUAUGGAGCUUUGUAGUGUUUCAGGCUUGGCUGUGAAUAUGGCCAAUUCUCAUAUUUAUCUCAUGGGUGUGUCUGAUGGUAUAAGGAAGGACAUUUUGGAGGUUGUUUAUUUUGAGGAGUGCACUUUUUGUCUUGGGGUUAAUAUGCGGCCUACUAAAUGGAGGAAGUUGAUUGUGAGCAAAUUAUUAAAUAAAUUCAUUUAAAACUCAAUCCUUGGGCGAGUAGACAUCUUUCAUUUGCAUGGAGAGCCCAACUUAUACAUGCGGUCCUUUUAGGAAUAAGGGGUUAUUGGAUGAGUAUUUUUUGCUGCCUAAUAGUGUUGUAAAAGAGAUUGACAAGUUGAGCAGGAAUUU